rnacentral:rRNA from 1 species
AUUGAACGCUGGCGGCAGGCCUAACACAUGCAAGUCGAGCGGAGCGGCGGACGGGUGAGUAAUGCCUAGGAAUCUGCCUUGUAGUGGGGGAUAACGUCCGGAAACGGGCGCUAAUACCGCAUACUAUCAGAUGAGCCUAGGUCGGAUUAUCUAGUUGGUGGGGUAAAGGCCUACCAAGUCGACGAUCCGUAACUGGUCUGAGAGGAUGAUCAGUCACACUGGAACUGAGACACGGGCCAGACUCCUACGGGAGGCAGCAGUGGGGAAUAUUGGACAAGGGGCGAAAGCCUGAUCCAGCAAUGCCGCGUGUGUGAAGAAGGUCUUCGGAUUGGAAAGCACUUUAAGUUGGGAGGCGUGACCAACAGAAUAAGCACCGGCUAACUUCGUGCCAGCCGCCGCGGUAAUUC